rnacentral:rRNA from 1 species
GACGAACGCUGGCGGCGUGCUUAACACAUGCAAGUCGAACGGAAAGGCCCUGCUUUUGUGGGGUGCUCGAGUGGCGAACGGGUGAGUAACACGUGAGUAACCUGCCCUUGACUUUGGGAUAACUUCAGGAAACUGGGGCUAAUACCGGAUAGGAGCUCCUGCUGCAUGGGGGGGGUUGGAAAGUUUCGGCGGUUGGGGAUGGACUCGCGGCUUAUCAGCUUGUUGGUGGGGUAGUGGCUUACCAAGGCUUUGACGGGUAGCCGGCCUGGGAGGGUGACCGGCCACAUUGGGACUGAGAUACGGCCCAGACGCCUACGGGAGGCAGCAGUGGGGAAUAUUGCACAAUGGGCGGAAGCCUGAUGCAGCAACGCCGCGUGCGGGAUGACGGCCUUCGGGUUGUAAACCGCUUUCGCCUGUGACGAAGCGUGAGUGACGGUAAUGGGUAAAGAAGCACCGGCUAACUACGUG